GACCUAUUAGCUCAGUUAGUUAGAGUAUCAUGCUAAUAAUAUGAAAAUCACAAGUUUGACUCUUGCUUGGGUCA
rfam:Glycine max cultivar Williams 82 chromosome 19, whole genome shotgun sequence.